rnacentral:misc_RNA from 1 species
UUAGCUAUUAAGUCACUGCUCGGACGUCACGGUUGACGGGGUUGGAGGGGUCUCUGACGGGCGCGCGUGCACCGAGGUCGACGGGGGGCCGGAGCCCCGCGGCCCGCCAAAGCAACAAAGGUAGGUACACAUGGGUGGGAGGUUCGGGCCCCGGGGGACCCUAUCUCGGUAAUGAUCCCUCCGCAGGUUCACCUACGGAGA